rnacentral:lncRNA from 1 species
CUGACUAGUAAUUAGAGUACUACUGUUCCACUCCUUCAUUUUACAGGUUAUUGACUGUGAUGGAAAGGCCCAGGCUCAAUGUCUUCCAAGUUUGCUUAUAUCUAACUAGUUAAGUAACAGUGGGGCCAGUCCUAGUUGUGGCUCUGGUGGUAUACACUGUUGUUUCAGGACUUGGGAGGCCAGGUCAGGAAGAUUUUGAGUUGGAGGUUAGUUUAAAAUACAUAGUGAGACCCUGCCUCAAAAGAGGAAGGAAGGAAGGAUAGGAGGGAGGAAGAAGGGGUAAAGGAAGGAGAAAAGGGGUGUGAUAUGGAGGGAUUAGGUGCCAGCCUACCUAAGCUUCUGUGAACCCAGGAAGAAGAGAUGUAUAUUUAUCUUAUUGGUUGUUGAAUAAAGCACUGUUGGCCAAUAGCGGCACAAGAUAAGUGGGACUAGGAGUCGAGGAGAAUUCUGGGAAAUGUAGUAAAAAGAAGUCUUGUGAUCCAGGCAGGAAGUGACAUAGAAGGCAGACUCAGAAUAUAAGCAAGGACAAGCAGGAAAUCGCUCUCUUCUUCCUUCUCUCUUCUCUGUGGAGUUGUCAUGUGAUCGCCAGGAAGACAAGACACAUAAGGCCAACAUUCUCAAUAAGAUAAGUCUUCAUAAAUAUAUAGAUUAGUAAUUAUGGUUGAUAAUAAAGACUGAGCUAGCAUAUAAGAAAUCCUAGUCAUUAGCCAGCAGCAUUGUAAAUAAUAUUAAUCUCUGUGAGUUAUUUUGGGUGUCCAUGUGGUGGUGGGGCUCCAGCAGCAGCUGUCGAAAAGAUUUAUCAUUACCAUCUCCAGCUAGGCUUGCCUAUCAUCUUGAGAUACCAAUUAAAGAGAUGACUGGAGCUAGAGAGGAGGCUCAGUGAUGAAGUGUUUGUUGUGGAAGCAUGGGGACCUGAGUUUGAUUCUCCAGAACCCAUGUAAAGCUCACAUCUGUAAUGCUAGUGCUCCUAUGAUGACAUGGGAGGUGGAGAUAGGAGAAUCUCUGGAAUGGCUCAGGCCAGCUGACCUGAUACACAUACAAGUCGCUCGUGUCUCGGGAAGAGACAAGAGCUCUGG